UGCGAGAGUGGCGAAAUUGGCAGACGCGCUGGAUUUAGGAUCCUGUGCCUUCGGGCGUGGGGGUUCAACUCCCCCCUCUCGCAU
rnacentral:tRNA from 1 species